AGAGUUUGAUCCUGGCUCAGAUUAAACGCUGGCGGCAUGGCUAAAGCAUGCAAGUCGAGGGAGAAGCCCCUUCGGGGGUGGACACCGGCGCAAGGGCGAGGAACGGUAUCGAACGUACCCCGAGGUGGGGGAUAGUCUGGGGAAACUCAGAAUAAUACUCCAUGAUCUCUCCGGAGCAAAGCUACGGCGCCUCGGGAGCGGCGAUACUCCUAUCAGGUAGUUGGUGAGGUAACGGCUCACCAAGCCAAAGACGGGUAGCGGGUGUGAGAGCAUGACCCGCCGCAUCGGGACUGAGACACUGCCCGGACUCCUACGGGAGGCUGCAGCGACGAAUCUUCCGCAAUGCACGAAAGUGUGACGGAGCAAUGCCGCGUGUGGGAUGAAUCGGCUACGCCGUGUAAACCACUGUCAGGGGUUCGUAAUACUGAACAACCCCAGAGGAAGGGCCGGCUAACCUCGUGCCAGCAGCCGCGGUAAUACGAGGGGCCCGAGCGUUAUUCGGAAUCACUGGGCUUAAAGGGAACGCAGGCUGGCUCGCAAGCAUCUCGUGAAAUCCCUCGGCUCAACCGAGGAAUUGCGGGGUGAACUGCGAGCCUUGAGGUGGGUAGAGGUC
rnacentral:rRNA from 1 species